CCCUUAGAUGUUCUGGGCCGCACGCGUGCUACACUGAGUGGAUCAGCGGGUCAGGUUGCGCGAAAGCGUUUCCUAAUCUUUAAAUCCGCUCGUGAUGGGGAUUGACGGUUGCAAUUUUCUGUCAUGAACGAGGAAUACCUUGUAAGCGCGGGUCAUCAUCCCGCGCUGAAUACGUCCCUGCCCUUUGUACACACCGCCCGUCGCUACUACUGAUUGGAUGUUUAAGCGAGGUUCUCGAACUGCUAGCGACUUAGCUUCGGUGAGGUCGCAGUGUGGGAAGUGAACCUAGCUUUGGUGUCUAGAGGAAGUAAAAGUCGUAACA
rnacentral:rRNA from 1 species